UACGUAGGGCGCAAGCGUUGUCCGGAAUUAUUGGGCGUAAAGAGCUCGUAGGCGGCCUGUUGCGUCCGGUGUGAAAUCCCGGGGCUUAACCCCGGGCGUGCAGUGGAUACGGGCAGGCUGGAGGCAGGCAGGGGAGAACGGAAUUCCCGGUGUAGCGGUGAAAUGCGCAGAUAUCGGGAGGAACACCGGUGGCGAAGGCGGUUCUCUGGAACGCAACUGACGCUGAGACGCGAAAGCGUGGGGAGCAAACAGG
rnacentral:rRNA from 1 species